AGUGAACGCUGGCGGUAGGCCUAACACAUGCAAGUCGAACGGCAGCACAGUAAGAGCUUGCUCUUACGGGUGGCGAGUGGCGGACGGGUGAGGAAUACAUCGGAAUCUACUUUUUCGUGGGGGAUAACGUAGGGAAACUUACGCUAAUACCGCAUACGACCUACGGGUGAAAGCAGGGGAUCUUCGGACCUUGCGCGAUUGAAUGAGCCGAUGUCGGAUUAGCUAGUUGGCGGGGUAAAGGCCUACCAAGGCGACGAUCUGUAGCUGGUCUGAGAGGACGACCAGCCACACUGGGACUGAGACACGGCCCAGACUCCUACGGGAGGCAGCAGUGGGGAAUUUUGGACAAUGGGCGAAAGCCUGAUCCAGCAAUGCCGCGUGUGUGAUGAAGGCCUUCGGGUUGUAAAGCACUUUUGGCGGGAACGAAAAGGACUGUGCCAAUACCACGGUUCGAUGACGGUACCCGCAGAAUAAGCACCGGCUAACUACGUG
rnacentral:rRNA from 1 species